rnacentral:rRNA from 1 species
UGGGGAAUUUUGGACAAUGGGCGCAAGCCUGAUCCAGCCAUGCCGCGUGCGGGAAGAAGGCCUUCGGGUUGUAAACCGCUUUUGUCAGGGAAGAAAUCUUCUGAGUUAAUACCUCGGGAGGAUGACGGUACCUGAAGAAUAAGCACCGGCUAACUACGUGCCAGCAGCCGCGGUAAUACGUAGGGUGCAAGCGUUAAUCGGAAUUACUGGGCGUAAAGCGUGCGCAGGCGGUUUUGUAAGACAGAGGUGAAAUCCCCGGGCUCAACCUGGGAACUGCCUUUGUGACUGCAAGGCUUGAGUGCGGCAGAGGGGGGAUGGAAUUCCGCGUGUAGCAGUGAAAUGCGUAGAUAUGCGGAGGAACACCGAUGGCGAAGGCAAUCCCCUGGGCCUGCACUGACGCUCAUGCACGAAAGCGUGGGGAGCAAACCAGGAUUAGAUAGCCCCUGGGUAGUCCACGCCCUAAAACGAUGUCAACUGGUUGUUGGGAAGGUUCCUUCUCAGUAACGUAGCUAACGCGUGAAGUUGACCGCCUGGGGAGUACGGCCGCAA